AAUAGAUACCCGGGUAGUCCACGCCGUAAACGUUGGGCGCUAGAUGUGGGGGACCAUUCCACGGUUUCCGCGUCGUAGCUAACGCAUUAAGCGCCCCGCCUGGGGAGUACGGCCGCAAGGCUAAAACUCAAAGGAAUUGACGGGGGGCCCGCACAAGCGGCGGAGCAUGCGGAUUAAUUCGAUGCAACGCGAAGAACCUUACCAAGGCUUGACAUAUGCGAGAACGCUCUAGAAAUAGAGAACUCUUUGGGACACUCGUAUACAGGUGGUGCAUGGUUGUCGUCAGCUCGUGUCGUGAGAUGUUGGGUUAAGUCCCGCAACGAGCGCAACCCUCGUCGCAUGUUGCCAGCACGUAAUGGUGGGGAACUCAUGUGAGACUGCCGGGGUCAACUCGGAGGAAGGUGGGGAUGACGUCAAAUCAUCAUGCCCCUUAUGUCUUGGGCUUCACGCAUGCUACAAUGGCCGGUACAAAGGGCUGCGAAACCGCAAGGUGGAGCGAAUCCCAAAAAGCCGGUCUCAGUUCGGAUUGAGGU
rnacentral:rRNA from 1 species